CUCAGUUAUGUCUUUAUUAGCAGUGUGAAAACAGACUAAUACAAUAAUAUUCUUUUUUGGUACAUAGUAUUUCACUGCUUUGGGGUAUCAUAUGUUGGUAAAAUACAAAUGUUAUCAUAAUUUAUUUUGCUGAAAUACAAAUGCUAUUAAAGAAUGUGAAGACAUUUAACCACUAUGGGUCAUGAACACUUUAGUUCUUACUUGACUUAUUUAACCUUAAACUAAAGACUUGGUGGGGGAGGGCAAGGAGGCCAUGCCCCAGGAAUUGGGCAUAGGUCUGCUGUGUUAGCAGGCUCAGGUGAACAGAGUGUCUCCAGAUGGCUGAGGAAAGGGAGAGCUCUGGACAAAGGAUGAAAGAGAAGAGGUUGAUGUUGAAAUGGACUUCUCUAGGUAGAUACACUUGGGUUGGCCCUGUCUGGGGCUUUGGGCCUCUCUAACUCUCAACUUCCAGUAUAAGUCUAAGCCAAGUUCAAAGGUAUAGGUUCUGGAGCUUCUCCCAACAGAACAAGGUCGUUUCCAUAUGACUCAAUACUGGCCAAACAGCUAGCCAGUAAGUUAUGGGGAGGAGGGAAAAAAAAAGAAAGUACUUAAUUAAAGAGGGAGGAAAUUAACUUUAUUGAGUGCCUACUAUGUACCAUCGUAUAUGCUUACACAAAAAAGUGUUUGGCAAAAUUCAAUAUCUACUUAUGACAAAAAUUUUUAUGAAACUAGAAAUAGGAGGGAACAUUUUCAAUUUGGUGAAAGGCAUCUAGGAAAAACCAUUGACUAACAUCAGACUUAAUGGAAAAGAAUUGAGUGUAUGUUAUCUGACUACUCCAUCCAAUGGUUCUGUUAUCCCCACUUUACAGAUAGAGGAGACAAGGGCUGAAAAUAUCAAUUAACUUGCAUAAAGUUAUACAAAGAAAAUUCUAAGAAAUCAGGAGGCUAUUGUUAAGAACACUUGCAAUCUUUAACGUCCUGCUAGGACUAAAAAAUUGUGUCUAUCCUCUUCCUACUUUGAAAUUUGAGUUUGAUAGAUAGGGUUUCAGCAGCAACUUGGAGAUGCUAAACAACAAAUAAUAUCAGAUUCACUCUGGAGGCUGCAGCAGAAAGAUCAUCAAAGAUAUGGUUUGGAAGAUGUGACUUGAGGGGAAUAAAAAUGAAGUUAUUGAACCAAAAUUAGCCCUGUUUAUGGGUUUGUUCAUUCAUUCAAUAAAUGCUUAUUGUAUUUCUACUCUGUGCCAGGCACUGUACUAGGUCUGGCUUAUAUACAUGGUUACCUCCUGGAACCAUUAGUCAAGAGGCAGACACUAAUGGGAUAGUGACACAGUUAAAUGCUAAACACAACUUUGGCAGAUGUCAUUAGAAGAAAAUGUAAUGUGGGAGCAUGACAGGAGGACUUGACUUAGUGUGUGAAGUCAGGAAAGUGACCAAGGAUCUGAAAUCUCACGAAACGAAGGUCUUGCUAAAGGUUCCCUGGCAGGAGCAAGAAAGAGGAGCAGAGAGAUUGGAGGAAAGGAGAUCAAGAACAGCCUGAAGCCUGUUCAUGUGGGGGUAGUCACUGACUGUGGCUUUACUUAUACAGCAGCUUGGGAGGUUUGACAUUCAAGGCAGGAGAAGUACUUGUAAAGAUUGCCCAAACUGAGGACUUAUUAAUAGCUGACAACUUCCACAGAUUCCUGGGAUGGCUUGAGCAAACUUUUUUGUUAUCUUGAAGGCUGAAUGUUUCAUGUUUUUGUCCGCCUAGCCAUACAGCACUAGCUGUGUUUGGGGCCCUCCACGUAAUUCUGUGGUCUGUAUCAUGUGUCUGCCAAGUGAAACCCCCCAUGAAGAUUUUCUUGUGAAUUUCCAGAUGUUAGUGUGUUGAAAUUGAAUGGAGAAGAGUCCCUCUUAUCUCUGUAUAUUCCUGGGAAUUGAAAGGGAUGGCGGUCCCUCUUCCCAACAUUGAAAUCAGCCUUGGCUUCUUCAGGAAGAUUUUGUAACUAUGACAAAUAUAUAUAUAUAUAUUUUUAAAAUUUUCAUUUUAGGGCCAAAGUUCUAGAAAGCUAGACAUGUGUCAGCUGCAGAAAGUAUCCACCGAGAUGAAUGGUUUUGGCUCUGCUGGCUAUUGCAUGGCAUGAUGACCUCGUGUUCCCAGCCCUAAAUGAGUAAAUUAACCUCAGCUAGGAGAAAAAAUCUUAGCUACAAAACCAAAGGCCAAAGUCCAGAGGACUCGUCAGCUUCAUCAGUAGAGAGUGAGUAUAGCUCAACACAAAUCCAUCACUGAAAGCAGUGCAACCAAGGCAGCGGCGAGGUUGGUGGGGGCUGGGAGGAAUCAACUUCUCUAAUGACAGACAAGGCUGUGCUUCACUUCCACAUGGCCACAAGGUGGCAGUGUUUCUCCUGGUACUAAAAUUUGCCCCUGCUUGUAUGAAAAAGACUUAUUCCCUAUGGAAACAAUGUCUGUCAUUUCACAUUUUGAUUCAUUUUUUUUCCUCAACAGAGAAACAGGCCAGCAUGGGGUAAGGCAAGGAUUAAAUGUGAAAUCGGGUAGUCCAGGUUCUAAUUCUAGCUCUGCCGUGAACUAACUGUAUAACUUUGGAUUUACCAUGUCUGAGUUUCAAUUUGCUCAUCCACAAAAUGGAGAUACAUCUCGCCUGCUCUUCUUAUAAUUGUCAGGCACAAUAAUAAACUAUAUAUGCAAGUGUGAUCAAUUAUAACGUACCAUAACACUGGUUCUUAACUUUUAAUAUAAGAAUCACAUGAGGAAAUUUUAAAAAUACACACCCUCAAGGCCCAGCUUCUAAAGAUGUUUCAAGAAGUCCAGGCCUAUGCCUUAGAGUUUGUAUACUACUACAUAUUCAUCUGCAGGUAUCAAGAUGAUGAAGGCCUAGGGACCACAAUUUGAGAAACUACACUAUGCAAAUAUAUACCAGUAGAAAGUGAGAGGUUAAGGCACAGAAGUUUCUCUUACCUUUUCAUGUAAUGGUAUUUAUUUUUCUCUAUUUUGAGUAAAAGUUUUACAAACACUCCACUACCCUUAGAUUAACUAACUGAGGGCAGAAGUCUAUAUUUUAUUCACCUCCUUAUGUUCACAGCAAUUGUUAGGAUGUUAAUUGGAUAAUAAUCAGAUAACAAUGGUUAUCUGAAUCUUUGAUGGAGGUAAUCUGUAGAGCAUCCCUAGCAAUGUCACUCCAUUUACAGGGAUAUUUGGUGAUAGGACCUGGCAGACUCAAUAGAAUUCACCUGAGCUUUGCCUUUGUACCCCCAUGGGCUCAUUUUUGUCACCUAGUAAGUGACCAGUGCCAUUUAGCAAUUGCUGAAUCAUGGGCUUCACUGUGCUGAAACAGUUGUGCAGGAAAUUUAGCAAUGAGGUUCCAUAAAACUCCCGGAGUUUUCUGUCACUAUGGUUAUCACAGAUCACCAGGGCUUUUCAACCAGCACCGGCAGUAUUUUCAGGGUCUUUAAGAGAGACUUAGCCCCCUUACUCCUCAGAGGGUGCUCCCUGCUGAGCUGUUGCCCUAAGAGAGGGUCUAGUUCAAAGGUGAAUAUAGCAGGAGAGAUGUGCAGUCUGGCACCUUGGGCCUGUGGCCAGGGUACAAUAGCUCGAAUGUGAUAUCCCCAGCACCUGAAUGUGGAUAUUCAAAUCUCCUCUUAGGUAACAGCAAAGAAGACUCUUAGCAAAGUUGUCAGAGGCAGCUACGGAAACUUGCUGUAUUCAAAUUUCACAUUGAUAGAGAAAGGAAAGUGCUUAAAUUGAACCAUGGGCUUUUAAAUCUUUCAGCAAAUAUUUAUUGAGCAACAGUUGUUUUUCAGCAGGAACCAUUCUAGGCCUUUGAUUAAAAUGUGAGUAAAAUAUCCAAAGACUCUGCUAUUCUGAGGUUGAGAUUCCAGCAGCAGGAGAUGGAAAAAUAAUAAACAUAAUGAUUACAUAAAAUACUUUAUGUUAGGAAGGGAUAUAUGAUCUGGUAAGUAAUGCAGGGUAUAGGAGAUUGGGGAGAAGUCAGUGAGGGGAAGAAGCAAGGUGUAUUAUUAAAUAGAAUGGUGAGGAGAGGCCCCUGUGAGAUUGGAACAAAGACUUGAAGAAGAGUUGUUCAAACAGAGAAAAUAACAAGAGCAAGGGUCUAGGGCCAGAGCACGCCAGGCACUCAGGAGGCAUAGCAAAGAUGCCAGUGCAGCUGCAGUGGAUGAGCUCAGGGAGAUCACGGGAAUCCAGACCACAUAGACUUGGUCCUACUGGAGGACAAGGAUUUUGCUGAAGGUAUCUUUGUAUCCUCAAGGACGAAUAUUGUGUUUUGCUUGCACCAGAGGCUCGAAUGGAUUGGCCUCAGGAUAGGAUAAAGCCUUGGGGGAGGUUGUGCCACAGGAAAGAGCUGAAGGUCUAGCCUUCAGGGAAUGGGCACCCCUUUGGGAAAAGAGAUAAUUCACGAGAAGUGGGUAUAGUAUGCAUGCUGGAGUCAAUUGCAGUGUGGAGAGCUGCAGAAGAGCAUUUGCUGAAUUAGUGGGACCCUAAAUCAGUAUGGGGAAAGGUCCCCACUGCAGCACUUUCUACACCUCAUCCUCCUAUAUUCUACUUGUGCCUGUGGCCUUUUCUCCACCCCGCCCCCUGCCCACUCAGCACUCAACUGACCUAUGCAUAACACCUUAGUCAUCCUUUCACUGAGAAAGGACUUUCUUAAGAACUUAGAAUGCGGAAAGUCCCUUUCUCCUUUUCCUCUUUUUGUUUUCAAUUGAGAUGAAGAUCACAUAACAUAACAAUUAACCAUUUUAAAGUAUACAAUUUCGUGGCAUUUAGCACAUUCACAAUGUUGUGCAAUCGCCACUUCCAUCUAGUGCCAGAACAUUUUCUUCACCUCAAAAGAAAAUCCAUUAAGCAGUCACUCCCCACCCCUCCCUCUCCUCAGUCCCUGGAAACCACUAAUCUGAUUUCUGUCUUAAUGAGACGAACUCUUCCAGAUAUUUUAUGUAAAUAGAAUCAUAUUCUGUGUAGCCUUGUGUGUCCAGUUUCAUUCACGGAAAUGCGUUUCUUAACUCUAAAAACAAUCCAGUAAAGAUGCAAAUUUUAAUUACUGCACAGUCAGGAAGGUAAUGCAGUGGCAGCUAGUUAUGUCUGAUGGCAGCAGUCCAAGGCUUUCAAGAUUUCUUCAGCUUCUGAAGGUGACAUGAGGAAAAUGAAAUGUACAUAAUGCUUGUCAGACUUCUAUUUCCUAGAGCCAGUAAGCUUUGGAUAAAGAUCCAGAAUAUGGACGACAUCAGUAAUAGCUCUGAUAGAUCACCUCACAGCCUUACCUCAUGUUCCGCCCUUAACUGUCAAUAACAGCAAGUGUUAGAACAGGUAAGUUUACUGUGCUGGUUUCCUGUGGAGGGUGGGAGUGAAGAGAGGUUUGAGGUUGUCUUAUUCUUCAGUCUGGGUGUAUUAUCAUCAGUCCAUGCAAGAACACUUGAAAACAUUUUUUCAUUUAUGUAUUUUAUUCCCAGACUCCACUUCUAUUGGCAUUCCUAAUAGGUAGCCAUUCUAAUGUAUUUAAAAUGCACGUUUCUCUUUGUGUGUAGUAAUGUGAACUAUUUAUUGCUGUCUUGUGUACCUACAUUUUUUUUUUUUUUUUUGAGAUGGAGUGUUGCUCUUGUUGCCCAGGCUGGAGUGCAGUGGUGCGAUCUCGGCUCACCACAACCUCCACCUCCCAGGUUGAUUGUAUGUUAACAUAUCUCAUGAUAUUUCCACUCAAUAUGAUGUUUUGAAGAUCAAUCCAUAUAUAUGUACGUAAAUAAGUCAAUAAACUUUUGUAUAUUAACCUGUAU
rnacentral:lncRNA from 1 species